rnacentral:rRNA from 1 species
AAUAGAUACCCGGGUAGUCCUAGCCAUCAACGAUGGAUACUGGAUAUUCCUGCACUCAUGUGGGAGUGUCGAAGCCAACGCGUUAAGUAUCCCGCCUGGGGAGUACGGUCGCAAGAUUGAAACUCAAAGGAAUUGACGGGGGCCCGCACAAGCGGUGGGGCAUGUGGUUUAAUUCGACGCAACGCGAAGAACCUUACCUGGGCUUGAACUGUCGGUAUAGGGACCCGAAAGGGCGACGAUCCCGGGCAACCGGGAAGCCGAUAGAGGUGCUGCAUGGCUGUCGUCAGCUCGUGUCGUGAGAUGUUGGGUUAAGUCCCGCAACGAGCGCAACCCUUGUCUUUAGUUGCCAGCGAGUCAUGUCGGGCACUCUAAGGAGACUGCCUCGGAUAACGAGGAGGAAGGUGGGGAUGACGUCAAGUCAGCAUGGCCUUUAUGUCCAGGGCUACACACGUGCUACAAUGGGCGGCACAGAAGGACGCGAGACCGCGAGGUCAAGCCAACCCUUAAAACCGGUUCUCAGUUCGGAUUGCAGG